UCAUUCUUACAGCCUUAGCCAGUGGUGUUACCGACCUCAAACGUGUCCGUUUCAGCCGAAAAGUGAGAAACAAACGUAAUAGUGGUGGCCAGAUAACAGAGGAAGAGUCUACGAACAAUACAAUAUACGAAUGGUCGA